rnacentral:tRNA from 2 species
GAGCCGGUAGCUCAGUUGGCAGAGCAACGGACUUUUAAUCCGUAGGUCCUGGGUUCGAUUCCCAGCCGGCUCA